rnacentral:tRNA from 1 species
UUAUUAGCUCAGUUGGUAGAGCAGCGGACUCUUAAUCCGAAGGUCCGGGGUUCGACCCCCC